UGCCAGACUCCUACGGGAGGCAGCAGUGGGGGAUAUUGCACAAUGGGGGAAACCCUGAUGCAGCGACGCCGCGUGGGCGAAGAAGUAUUUCGGUAUGUAAAGCCCUAUCAGCAGGGAAGAAGAAAUGACGGUACCUGAGUAAGAAGCACCGGCUAAAUACGUGCCAGCAGCCGCGGUAAUACGGAGGAUGCGAGCGUUAUCCGGAUUCAUUGGGUUUAAAGGGUGCGCAGGCGGGCCUUUAAGCCGGCGGUGAAAUCGGGGGGCUCAACCUCGCUCCGCCGUUGAAACUGGCGUUCUUGAGUGGGCGAGAAGUAUGCGGAAUGCGUGGUGUAGCGGUGAAAUGCAUAGAUAUCACGCAGAACUCCGAUUGCGAAGGCAGCAUACCGGCGCCCAACUGACGCUGAAGCACGAAAGCGUGGGUAUCGAACAGGAUUAGAUACCCGGGUAC
rnacentral:rRNA from 1 species